AUAAAAUCAGAAAGUUUGAAUUUUAAGAUUUUAAUAUAUGAACCAUAGUUAGUUAAUUCGGAUUCAGCAAAAAUUCGGUACGGAUAUAAUUCGGAUAAAAUGCGUCUUCUAAUUUUUAAAUUCGUUGAAAAAUACGGCUAAAAAACGGAUUCGGUAAUUAUUCGGAUACGUGAUUUAUAUGGAUAUUACAUGUUCAUCAAUUAAAAAUUCGGGAUCAAAAAUUCGACUAUUAAAUUAAUUUUUUUUCUCUCAAAAUUUAUGCUAUUAGUAUAAAUACUCAUAUUUCUUAAAAAUAUAAGAAUAAAGAGCUACAAAAUUAAGCUAAUUAAAUAAAAAAAAAAUAGCAAACUAUAUUAUCCUUAUAAAUAAAAUAUUAUAUAAUAAUAUUUUUAUAUAAAAAUAGAAUACUAUAUAUAAUAAAUAAAUAUAUAUUUAUAAAUAAAAUUAUAUAUACAUAUAUAGAGUCCGGCUACGGUGCUUGUAAAAGCACCAAGUAUUUGGUGCUUGUAAAUUUUUUACCGUUAGAUCUACUUCUCUAAUCAUUUUUAACCAUUAGAUUAUACUAUUCAACCAACCACCCACUCAACCCUAGGGGGCCCACAUGAUCCUAAACGCACAUCCC
rnacentral:lncRNA from 1 species